GGGCCUAUAGCUCAGUUGGUUAGAGCAGAGGACUCAUAAUCCUUUGGUCGCUGGUUCGAGUCCAGCUGGGCCCACCA
rnacentral:tRNA from 11 species